UGGGGAAUUUUGGACAAUGGGCGAAAGCCUGAUCCAGCAAUGCCGCGUGUGUGAAGAAGGCCUUCGGGUUGUAAAGCACUUUUGUCCGGAAAGAAAUCCUCUGGGUUAAUACCUCGGGGGGAUGACGGUACCGGAAGAAUAAGCACCGGCUAACUACGUGCCAGCAGCCGCGGUAAUACGUAGGGUGCAAGCGUUAAUCGGAAUUACUGGGCGUAAAGCGUGCGCAGGCGGUUUUGUAAGACGGAUGUGAAAUCCCCGGGCUUAACCUGGGAACUGCAUUCGUGACUGCAAGGCUAGAGUAUGGCAGAGGGGGGUAGAAUUCCACGUGUAGCAGUGAAAUGCGUGGAGAUGUGGAGGAAUACCGAUGGCGAAGGCAGCCCCCCUGGGCCAAUACUGACGCUCAUGCACGAAAGCGUGGGGAGCAAACAGGAUUAGAUACCCUGGUAGUCCACGCCCUAAACGAUGUCAACUAGUUGUUGGGGAUUCAUUUCCUUAGUAACGUAGCUAACGCGUGAAGUUGACCGCCUGGGGAGUACGGUCGCAAGAUUAAAACUUAAAUGAAUUGAC
rnacentral:rRNA from 1 species